AGGGAUGUAGCUCAGUUGGUAGAGCACUCGUCUCCAAAACGAGUUGUCGCAGGUUCGAUCCCUGCCAUCCCUG
rnacentral:tRNA from 1 species